rnacentral:lncRNA from 1 species
AUGGGCUUCUGUAUACUAGUUUCAUUUUGGACAAGGACCGAACUAAUUGCUUGAGAGAUGACUGAUAAAUAUAUAAAGAGCUUCUCACCUUCAUCAUGCUUGGAGAGAAGGGGCACCAAUCCUAAGUACUUCUUGAGUUCUUUAAAUGCUGAUCGGUACUCCUUCGACCACUCGAAGUUCUUUGAUUGCUUUAUUACUCUGAAGAAUGGGAGACAUUUUUGGAUCGAUCUGGUGAUGAAUCGGCUCCAUGUUUCCACUCUUCCAGUUAGUCAUUGAUCGUUGUCGUGGGC